UCCUCAGUCUACCUCGUAACGUAAAUUAAUUUUCCAUAUACGAGUCCUGAGUUUGUUGAUUCUUCAAAGGAAAUAUACGAACCUUACACACACGUACAUAUUUUCUGGACCUUUUUUUUUUUUUUUUUCUGUGUUGGAAAUCUUGACCUUUCUUGUUGAAUAGUUAAUGGUAUGUUGGGACCAUGUCCAAGACAUGAUUGAUUAUAUUUACAGAGCAUAAACUAAUCAGCUUUCCAAAUCUUUACCGUUUAUAUAUAUAAUUGCAUUCUGGAUCCAGUUGUUAAGAUAUAAUACUGUAUGCAUGGAGAAUAUGAAUGUUAAAUUUCUAACCAAUCUAAAAUCUCUAACUAUUUCAUCUAUCAAGUGAUCUUACUCCUAUAUGUAUAUAUGUCAUACUUUAAUUGAAUUCAAAUAAGAUUAACUUUCAAAAUAUGAUGUAUUAAUUUCAAUAAAAAAAGAGUAAGAUAAUUAUAUUUUAAGUUGUUAAGAGCAAUCACUCAUGUUCUGUAUUCCCUCG
rnacentral:lncRNA from 1 species